AUGGCCAGAUUUUACAUUCUUAAGAAGUUGAUCCCCACUACUAUCAAUUCUUUUAACAUGCACAUUGUCCACAUCAGCUUCAUGCCACAUCAGCGUUCAGUUCCCAAUUCCGUGCGUCCACCUCAGCAAAGUUGCCAUGUCACUACUUUUUUAAUUAAAAAUAACGUUCCAAUCGCUUAUUAUACGAAAGAAGAAAAACGUUGGAGCUCCCCACCAUUGCAGCCCCGUCUCCUCAAUUCCCCGCAUGGCUCACCAACUAAUUUCAUGCCUCUCUUAAUUGUAGGCAACAGAUCAUCUUCGUCUUCAUCUUAUCCACCAAAAACUGAUGGAAGAGUAAACGAUUGA
rnacentral:rRNA from 1 species